CCUGGUUGAUCCUGCCAGUAGCAUAUGCUUGUCUCAAAGAUGAAGCCAUGCACGUGUAAGUACACACGGCCGGUACAGUGAAACUGCAAAUGGCUCAUUAAAUCAGUUAUGGUUCCUUUGAUCGCUCCAUCUGUUACUUGGAUAACUGUGGUAAUUCUAAAGCUAAUACAUGCCGGUGAGCAUGGACCUUCCAGGAUGCGUGCAUUUAUCACACCAAGACUAAUCCGGGAUCGCCGGCCCCUUUUGGUGACGCUAGAUAACCUUGGGCCGAUUGCACGUCCCCAUGACGGCGAAGAUGCAUUCAAAUGUGUGCCUAUCAGCGUUCGAUGGUACUUUCUGUGCCUACCAUGGUGACCACGAGUAAUGGGAAUCAGUGUUGGAUUCCGGAGAGGGAGCCUGAGAAAUGGCUACCAAACCCAAGGAAGGCAGCACGCGUGCAAAUUACCCACUCUCGACUCCGGGAGGUAGUGACGAAAAAUAACAAUAUAGGACUCUUUCGAGGCACUGUAAUUGGAAUUAGUACACUUUAAAUCCUUUAACGAGUACCCAUUGGAGGACAAGUCUGAUGCCAGCAGCCACUGUAAUUCCAGCUCCAAUAGCGUAUAUUAAAGUUGCUGCAGUUAAAAAGCUUGUAGUUGGAUCUUGGGAUCGAGCUUGUGGUCCGCCGUGAGGUGAGCUACGGCCUGUCCUGCACCUUUGCGCCCCUUUGAAGCUCUUACCUGAGUGUCCUGGAGGUCCGAAGUGUUUACUUGAAAAAAUGUGAGUGUUCAAAGCAGGCCAGUCGCCAGAAUACUUCUGCUAGGAAUAAUGGAAUAGGACUCCGGUUCUAUUUUGUUGGUUUUCGGCACUGGGGCCAUGAGACGGCCGGGAACACUCGUAUUGUGCUGCUAAAGGUGAAAUUAUUGGACCGGCGCAAGACGAACCAAAGCGAAAGCAUUAGCCAAGAAUGUUUGUAUUAAUCAAGAACAAAAGUCUGAGUUUCGAAGAUGAUCUGAUACCGUUGUAGCUCCGACCAUAAACUAUGCAGACUAGCGAUCUGGUGCCAUUUUUCCCAUGACCCGCUGAGCAUCUUCUGCAAAACCAAAGUCUUUGGGUUCCGGGAGAGUAUAGUUGCAAAGCUGAAACUUAAAGGAAUUGACAGAAGCGCACCACCAUGAAACUUCACCCGGCUCGGACUCGGAAGGAUUGACAGAUUGAUAGUUUUUUCUCGAUUCUGUGGGUGGUGGUGCAUGGCCGUUCUUAGUUGUUGGAGCGAUUUGUCUGGUUAAUUCCGAUAACAAACAAGACUCCUCCAUGCUAACUAAUUAUGCGACCCCCCUCCAGCGGUCAGCGUUCAACUUCUUAGACGCACUAGUGGCGUUUAGUCACACGAGAUCGAUCAAUAACAGGUCUGUGAUGCCCUUAGAUGUUCGGGGCUGCACUUGCGCUACACUGAACCAAUCAUCGUUUGUCUACCCUUCGCAGACAGGUGAGCUAACCCACUGAACCCUUUUCAUGAUAGGGAUUAGGGAUUGCAAUUAUUUCCCAUGAACAAGGAAUUUCCAGUAAGUGCAGAUCAUAAGCUUGCGUUGAUUAAGUCCCUGCCCUUUGUACACACUGCCCAUUGCUACUACCGAUUGGAUGGUUUAGUGAAGUACUUUGAUCAGCCCACGCUGGAGUCGGCAACGGCCCUGGCGGAGCGGUGAGAAGACUAUCAAACUUGACUAUCUAGAGGAAGUAAAAGUCGUACGGGUUGGGUUAGGCUGCCGGGGACG
rnacentral:rRNA from 1 species